rnacentral:rRNA from 1 species
AACGAACGCUGGCGGCAGGCCUAACACAUGCAAGUCGAACGCCCUAGCAAUAGGGAGUGGCAGACGGGUGAGUAACACGUGGGAACCUUCCCUAUAGUACGGAAUGGCUCAGGGAAACUUGAAGUAAUACCGUAUACGCCCGAGAGGGGAAAGAUUUAUCGCUAUAGGAUGGGCCCGCGUCGGAUUAGCUAGUUGGUGAGGUAAUGGCUCACCAAGGCGACGAUCCGUAGCUGGUUUGAGAGAACGACCAGCCACACUGGGACUGAGACACGGCCCAGACUCCUACGGGAGGCAGCAGUGGGGAAUAUUGGACAAUGGGCGCAAGCCUGAUCCAGCCAUGCCGCGUGAGUGAUGAAGGCCUUAGGGUUGUAAAGCUCUUUAGCAGGGAAGAUAAUGACUGUACCUGCAGAAUAAGCUCCGGCUAACUUCGUGCCAGCAGCCGCGGUAAU